rnacentral:lncRNA from 10 species
CUUUGCUGCUAUUGAAGAGCAUGGUUUCUCUCAAAAGGGGCUAAUCUGCAAGGCUUGCUUGAGAAGAGUAUAACAAAUUGAAUGGAACCAAAUGUCUGGGUUUUUUAGUGAAGAACAAUGCUAUCAGGAGAGAGCAUUUUAUUGUUUUUAGUUCUUUUCUCAUUGAAAGGGACUUUGGGGGCAUUAUGGAGCAGUAAAACAUUGCAAAGGCAAUGUUUCAGUCUUGAAAAGAAGAAGAAUGAGGAGACGACAUUGAUUUUGUGGUUUCUCCACUCAGCCAUUCAUUGUUUCAUGGAGGCAGAGAGAAGCCAGGUGAGAAAGAAUCAUUGCUCAGUUUGAGAUUUCAACCAGAUUUAUUUAAAUCCACAGGAAUACAAUGGCUUUAUAAGGAAGACUAUAUAGAAAGUAAGACACUUUUCUACAUUCCAGAAAUUCUUCUAAUAUAGUAAGAGCUUCAAGAUAUAGUGUAAUAAACCAGAAUAUAGAGAAGAUGAAAAAUGUACAGUAGGCCCCUGAUACACAGAUGGGGAGAAAGCUCUUCUACUACUGGGAAGAGAAGCCAAGAAAGAAAAAAGUGACAAGAUAUUAAACACAAAUGUCCUUGCUGCUCUCUGCUUUGGGAUCAAAUAUGGGAGGGGCAAUGGAGUAGAAUCAUUUAAAUAUUUUUGAGGGAACUAAAGAAGCAUUGGAAUUAGUACUCCCCUUCCCCACAAGUGGAAGCUUCUCAAAGAAGACUUGCAUUUUCUAAUGCAGCAUGGGAGCAAUAGAGAAGCAUAGGAAAAGAGGCCUGAGGAGGUUAGCGGACAAGAAGUGACCUGGAACUGGAAUUAGAAAACCACAAAGUGUGGGAACAUUAUGACCAGACAAAAUGGCAAGGUCUACAGUUCUCAGUAGUUAAUAAUGUGAUGCCAAGAUUAGGCGGGACCAGCUACACUGGCAACACUGCACAGGACAAUGGUUAUCCAGCAGAGGUCAGAAUGCGCCAGCAACAGCUUGGGGAGCACAAGACUCCCACUGCCUCCAUAUGCCCCAUGGCACCCGGGAGGAGGAAAGGAGGGCAGGGAAGGAAUAUUGAAAGGAUCGGUAAAUAUGAAAAAAUGCUUUUAAAGUGAAAGAAAUGCUUUCAAUUAAUUGAAGUACUUUUUCUGGUAUCAACAGAAAUGAUGAGUCAUGGCAAGAGCAAAUCAAUGCUAGGUAAUAAAGGUUUUUUUGCACAUCUGAAUUGUAGUGUGAAAAUUUCAGCCUGUCAUAGCACCAAAUGCAAUCUGUUUUUAUUCGUCCUGUUUUCAGCGUUGAUAGUUGACCACUCCGUAAUCCUUAAAUCUAUUUUUAUUACAUCACAUUAUACUAGUUUUUCUCUUGUUUCUCUGGCUCUUACUUCCCUCACAACCUUCUUUCAUGUAUUCUUUGAAUGUUGUACCAUGGAUUCCAUACUCAGUUCUCCUUUCAUUUUAGAUACUCUCCCCUGAUGACCUCAUCUUUCUUACGGUUUCAAUGGUCAUAAUUUCAAAUAUACAUUCUAAGACUCAGCCUCUCUGCUUCCUGAGAUCUAUUGGUCAUCUCCAUAGAUAUCUCAUAAGCAUCUCAAUUUCCAUCUGCCUCAAACUGUUCCCCUAGUUGUUCACAGAAUGAGCUGGAAAGUGUUCUUUCCUGUUCAAUUUUCUGUAACAUUUUCUGGAGAAUUAGUAAUAUUUCUUCCUUAAAUGCUUUGUAGAAUUUAUCAGUAAACAAUCUUGAUCUAAAGUUUUUUGGUGGAAGAUUAUUAACCAAAAAUUUAAUUUUAAAAACAUAUACAGGGCUAUUUAGUCUAUCAAUUUCUUUUUAAGUGAGCUUUGGUAGUUGUGACUUUCAAGACAAUUGUCUAUCCCAUCUAAGUUUUAACAUUUAUUGGCAUUAAGUUGUUCCUGAUAUUCCCUUAUUACUAUUUUAAUGUUUGUAAUGUCUAUAGUGAUGUUUCUUCUUUUUGCCUGACCAGAUUGGCUAGAGAGUUACAAAUAUUAUUAGUGCUCCCAAAGAAUCAGCUUUGAUUUCACUGAUUUUCUCUUUUAUUUAUAUGUUGACAAAUUUAUUGAUUUCUGCUCUAAUUUUUAUUACCUUUAUUACCUUUCUGUUUUCUUUGGAUUUGCUUUUUUUUUUUUUUUUUAAGUUUCUUAAAUUUAACGUGGAGGCCAUUUGUUUCAGACCUUUCUUUUCUUAUGUAGGCUGUUAGUACUAAAUAGUUCUCCCUGAAGACUACUUUAGUUGUAUUCCAGACAUUUUGAUAUGAUAUUUCAUUCAAUUCAAUGUGCUUUCUGAUUUCCAUUUGAAUUGCUUUUUUAUUCAUGGGUUAUUUAGAAGUAUUACUUGGUAAUUGUACAUUUUAUGGUUUUCUAUAUAUCUUUUGAUUAAUGAUAUCCAGUUUAAUUCAGUUUUUGUCAGAGAACAUAUAAUGUAUGAAUGUAAUCAUUUUACAUUUAUUGAGACUUGUUCUAUGGCCAGA